GACGAACGCUGGCGGCGUGCUUAACACAUGCAAGUCGAACGAUGAACUCCCAGCUUGCUGGGGGGGAUUAGUGGCGAACGGGUGAGUAACACGCGAGUAACCUGCCCUGGACUCUGGGAUAACCCCGAGAAAUCGGAGCUAAUACCGGAUAGGACCUUGCACCGCAUGGUGUGGGGUGGAAAGUUUUUUCGGUCUGGGAUGGACUCGCGGCCUAUCAGCUUGUUGGUGAGGUAAUGGCUCACCAAGGCGUCGACGGGUAGCCGGCCUGAGAGGGUGACCGGCCACACUGGGACUGAGACACGGCCCAGACUCCUACGGGAGGCAGCAGUGGGGAAUAUUGCACAAUGGGCGCAAGCCUGAUGCAGCAACGCCGCGUGCGGGAUGACGGCCUUCGGGUUGUAAACCGCUUUUAGUAAGGAAGAAGGGGAGCUUGCUCCUUGACGGUACUUGCAGAAAAAGGACCGGCUAACUACGUGCCAGCCGCCGCCGUAACAC
rnacentral:rRNA from 1 species